GCUUUCACCAGCCACCACAUGGAAUCAGCUGACACUCUGAUCUUCAACUUUCUUGUCUCCAGAACUGUACCAAAAGUGAAUUCUAAGCCUCAUAGUUAAGGCAAAAGCACUAAGCACCUUGAGUCUAAAAGCACUGAUUUUCCAGCUAUUGACAUCACCCACCCAUGGAAGGACUGCUGAAAGGGAGUGAGUGAGUUUCUCAGAAUUUUCGAAAGCCUUCUGUUGCAUUAUCAGCACACGCACUAUGGCAAAAGCUAAAGAGGAAAGGCGGGGGUUAGAACCAAAGCCAGAUUUCCACGUCACAGAUAACACAAGGGGAAGACACUCAUAGGACUCUG